rnacentral:sRNA from 1 species
GCCAGGUGUAGUGGUGCCUGCCUAUAAUCCCAGUGACUCAGGAGGCUGAGGCAGGAGGAUUGCUAGUUUGAGACCAGCCUCAGCAACUUAGGAAGAUCCUAAGAAACUUAGCAAGACCCUAAGCAACUUAGCAAGACCCUGUCUCAA